rnacentral:rRNA from 1 species
GACGAACGCUGGCGGCGUGCUUAACACAUGCAAGUCGAACGAAGUGGCGAACGGGUGAGUAACGCGUAAUCAACCUGCCCUUCAGCGGGGGACAACAGUUGGAAACGACUGCUAAUACCGCAUACUGAAGGAGGGGAUUGCGUCUGAUUAGCUAGUUGGAGGGGUAACGGCCCACCAAGGCGAUGAUCAGUAGCCGGUGUGAGGAGAUGAAUGGCCAAAUUGGGACUGGGACACGGCCCAAACUCCUAAGGGAGGCAGCAGGGGGGAAACUUCCGCAAUGGACGAAAGGCUGACGGAGCAACGCCGCGGGAGUGAUGACGGCCUUCGGGUUGUAAAGCUCUGUUAAUCGGGACGCGGUACCGGAAUAGAAAGCCACGGCUAACUACGUGCCAGCAGCCGCGGUAAUAC